rnacentral:rRNA from 1 species
UACGAAGGGGGCUAGCGUUGCUCGGAAUGACUGGGCGUAAAGGGCGCGUAGGCGGCUCAUACAGUCAGAUGUGAAAUUCCUGGGCUUAACCUGGGGGCUGCAUUUGAUACGGGUGGGCUUGAGUGGGGAAGAGGGUCGUGGAAUUCCCAGUGUAGAGGUGAAAUUCGUAGAUAUUGGGAAGAACACCGGUGGCGAAGGCGGCGACCUGGUCCUUGACUGACGCUGAGGCGCGAAAGCGUGGGGAGCAAACAGG